AUGAUUUUGAAACCGAAAAACAAAUGCAAUGCUGUUCCUUUUUCCUGUUAUCUGCUUUGUUUUUGCCUUUCUACACGAGUCACUUUCUUCUGCUUUGUGUAGUGUGUACUUGACUGAUUUGUUGAAUUGGUCAAUUACUACUCCUUUUGUUCCAAUUUGCGUGACACUGUUUCCUUUUUAUUUAUUCUAUUCAAGAAGAAUGGCAUCAAUCUUUGGAAAUAUUUUAACUUAAAAAACAUUUGGUAUAUUUCGUUUCCUGGAAGUUGUGUUUUGGUGUUUAGUUGGUGAGUGAAAAAUAUUUUCAAGAAAAAAUAUAUACUCUCUGUCGAAAUCUAUGUUUGUUACUUUGGCUUGGCACGAAAUAAAGUGAAAUUUUUGAAUCAUGUGGUCUUAAACUUGCCAUGAGGAUUUUGGAAUUGGAAAACAUAGUAAAUAUUGAAAGAGACGCUCUUAUAUAGGGUCAUGUCCUCAGUAAGCUGUAACUGCUUCAUAUCAUGUCUAAUCACCUCUCUCCAGUAUUUCUUCGGCCUAACUCUACUCCUCUUGAAACCAUCCAAAGCUAGCCUC
rnacentral:lncRNA from 1 species